rnacentral:rRNA from 1 species
CCAGCAGCUGCGGUAAUUCCAGCUCCAAUAGCGUAUAUUAAAGUUGUUGCAGUUAAAAAGCUCGUAGUUGGAUUUCUGGCAGGAGCGUCCGGUCUCACACUCAGUGCGGGAACUUGGAUGUCUCUGGCCAUCUUUGGGGAUAUCCUGUUUGGCAUUAAGUUGUCGGGCAGGGGAUACCCAUCGUUUACUGUGAAAAAAUUAGGGUGUUUAAAGCAGGCUUAUGCCGUUGAAUAUAUUAGCAUGGAAUAAUAAGAUAGGACGUAGGUACUAUUUUGUUGGUUUGCGCACCCACGUAAUGAUUAAUAGAGACAGGCGGGGCUAUUCGUAUUGCAUUGUCAGAGGUGAAAUUCUUGGAUUUCUGCAAGACGAACUACUGCGAAAGCAUUUAGCAAGGAUGUUUUCAUUAAUCAAGAACGAAAGU